ACAGGCUGAGAGAGUUGGGGCUGCUCAACCCAGAGAACAGAAGGCUCCAGGAGAUCUUCUAACACCGACCAGCACCUAAAGGAAUCCUACAGGAGCCUGAACAGCACACAGUGAAUUGUCACUGGCAUGGAACAUAAAUGGAAUUCAGUCAAGUUCCAACUUUAAAUGCCGGGUCUGAGGAGACUUCUUAAAUGUUUCCUUCUACCUUAGAAGACACAAAGCUCCUUGUUGCAAUGUUUUCUGUUAGUGACUGGAUACCUCCAGGGGCUAAUGAGGAGAUGUAAAACCACAGUGAACCCAGUGACCAUUUCAAAUCUAGGGAGGGAAAAUGAGAUAAUGAAGAAGAGAGAGGAAGACAAAGGGAAAAGGAUACUUCCGGAUAUUGCAAAGAUGUCUAAAUUUCACUACCAGAUUUCACUAGCAUGCUCAUCUAUUUCAUGUCAGCCAGAGUAGGUAAGCAGUUUUAAAUCUGAGAAGUAGUUUGUGGUCUCAAGCAGAGAAAGGGGAACUGAAUCAGGAAGAACAAAAGUUUCCAACACUGCAGAGCACCAGAUGCAGUGGUGGUGUCAAUCCUGACCAGCAGCGAUCCCAGGCUGAGACCUUCCUCGGAAUCUGACAGUCUGCAUUUCCUGAAUCAACAGGCCCAGGGCAGGGCUUGCUCUCACCACCCUUACUCAGGGAACUACCAUUGACUCAUAAUCCAGAUCCUGAAGUACUUCCAGUAACACAAAGACUUUGUACACUGCGUUUGGCUCCUGUGGGAACGGUCUGAGGUUUUCUGAAGACAAGACACUCACCCUAUCUUGUGAUUGUUUCAAUUCAUAUCCGAUCUCGAGCAAAAGGCUUUGUCUGAAGCUAUCAUGAAGUCACUAGCUGAGACUGCCAGAGGAUUUUUGUUGGACCUGAACUUCUCAGUAGUGGAAACAGCUCCUGACCGCUGAAUCACAGCAGUACAAGAGCAGAGCAGUUUUACUGUCUUAUCUCUUCUGCAGGCAAACAUUCUUUCUCCUACAGAUCACCAUAAGGCUAACAAAACCUUAUCAGCAUGACUAACACCAUAAUGUCUCGAUCCACUCAAUGGUAUAGAUAUUUUUUGUUCCAGCCCAUUGGAAUAUAUAAUUUCCUAAAAUUUAAAGCAAGUUUUGAUCAUGCAGUGCUCUACCAAGUGGAGUUAGAAACACCCAUGGCUUUGCUCUUGCCUUAUAGGUCUCAUCUUGCCCAUGUGCUUGUUUAUACUUUUUGUCACUUUUGUGACAGAUGUCUUCUAUCAAGCCUGUUCGGAGGCAGUCCUGCCCAUCUCAGUCUUCCUCUUACACCAGUAAGAGUUCUGCUGGUAAUUUCUCUGAUUUAGGCUCCUGAUAUCAAAUACAGCUAUAUGAAAAACAGAGACAAAAAUUUGAACUUCAGAUUCUUGGCUGAAGUAACACAACUUCAGUUGAAGCACAACUUCCUUAAU